AGCAAUCAAACUAAGGUGCACCUCAAAAAUUCACUUGAAGAAGUUUCGAUGCCAAAAAACCCUUAAAUCUGAUCAUCUCGACCUUGAGAUCAUGGACGUAAAAAGAAAUGCACUUCAAAUCUUGGAAAUAGUGCAUCUUGUAAUACACUAUUAGAACCGUCAAUUUUCAAGUGUUUAUGGAUUUUCUUGAUUUACACAAUUUUUUGAGCUUUAAAUUUUAUAAUUAGAGUUGAAAAUAAAUUUUUAGGCCAUCAUAAAUAUUUUCAUAUUACUGAAAUGACAUCUUUUGAUACUAUUUGAAAGUGUGUCUCUUUGAUUUUUUAGGGCGUCAGCGUUACACAACCCACACCCUAUAUAUAUAUAUAUAUACAUAUAUUACAUAAGCUAACUGUCAAUGGAGAGCCCUUUUAGAAUGUGAGUCGUUGCUUAUAUUUAGCUUUUUUUCAUUUGGAUCAAGAUAUGGAUUGGGA
rnacentral:lncRNA from 1 species